rnacentral:piRNA from 1 species
UGAGAAGUCUGAUUUCUUCCGUUCAGCAGG